GCCCUUGUGAGGAUAAGUGGCAAAGAAAAUUGAUGGAUGGAUAUAGAAGGCAUUUGUACAUAGUGCGUAUAGCAUACUUUAUUAUCAACAUAAUUUUGGACCAAGACAAUCCAUCGUAAUUAACAGAAAAUUCUCUCAGUGGAGUUCCACAGAGAAGCGUUUUAGGUCUAUUCAUUUUCUAUGAAGAAGGGUAAUUUUUGUCGGUGUGGUAAUACAUGAAUAAUGCCAAAGAUUGUAAGAACAACACCUACUAAAGAGGAAAACAAUAUUGUGUUACUGUCUAGCUAAAGAAAAGAUGCUUUUGGUUUGAGUGUGACGACCUAUCCCUGCCAUCUUUGAACCCAGCAGCGUCGUACUUAGCAUGUUUACAUUGAAGGCUCUCAAGUUGUUCAAAGGUGUGAUUGUACUGUGAGCGGGAAUGGUUGUCUUGAUGUGCCCUGAUCAGUCUGAACUCUACUCGUGUAGGCUCCUGCUCACCCGGGACUAGCGCUGGAAAAAAUAGAUUGUCGGAUUUUGUUCCAGCCUAUAUCACAAUAACCCACCCCCAUACCGAGAUUUUCUGUUUUAACUUUGGAGUAAUAGUUUGCACAUCCCCCCCAGCGACCAUUCUGUAUACAUGUAAAGCAUGUUUGUUGCAUCAUUGCCGUCUGUUGCUACCGUCGGGAUAGCGCAGUUUGACAGCCGUUCCGAAUGCGCGUUUAGCAAUUUAUAUGCAAAACAUACAGAUGAGCAAAACAUUUACUGAAAGGACAACAAAGCCAAAUGGGAGGAGAUCUAAUUGGACACGAGCUCCCAUCUUUUGACUGCACGAGAGAUUGCUUUGUUGCAAAAAAAGAUGAGAACAUACGGUACGGUACAACAUUUUAAUAAACACGAUUGGUCUUGGUAUUCGGUCUUUCAAAAAGGUCUGAGAAAGUUAAGGUUUUUCAUAAUAAAAAAAACAACAUCAGGAGAUUGAAGUCAAACAAAAGAAUAAAUGUGAUUUAUGUGAAGAAUUUUACUGAAGAAAGAAGCCCAAUGGUUAUGAGAAGCUCAAAAUAUUAAGAGAAGCCUUGAAAUAAAGACAAAAUUUAACAAAAAUGAAUCUUUAUAUUGCCUGAAAAAUAAGUCAAUAAUUUCUUUUGUUACAUCAUUUACACAUUUUACAGGAAAAAGAAGCACCACUAAAAGAAUGAAAUCAUUAAUACAACAUUCAUCCAUCCAUUUUCUCAGCCGCUUAUCCUCAUGAGGGUUGUGGGAGUGCUGAAACCAAUCCCAGCUAUCAUUGGACAGCAGGCAGGGUACACCCUGAACUGGUUGCCAGCCAAUCGCAGGGCACAUGGAGACAGACAACAGUCGCACCUAUGGGCAAUUUAGAGGUUCCAAUUAAUGCAUGUUUUGAGGAUGUGGGAGGAAAGCGCACAUGCGGAGGAGAAAACCCACACAGGGACGGGGAUGACAUGCAAACUCUACACAGGCGGGACCGGGAUUUGAACAUCGGUCCUGAGAACCGUGAAUCCAACGCUCGACAGCUGCGCCACCGUGCCACCAUCAGUACAACAAUAAAGUAAGAAUAUUACAAGAACAAAUUCAAAAUGUAACAAUUACAAUUUCUUUUAAAAAGUCAAAUAUUUCGCAGGAGGUUUAAGGUGUAAAUUCCAGGUGAGCCUGAGGGGAAGGUUCGAGUCAUUCUCACAUGUUACACGUUUUAAAUGAAGGUUCCUCGCGUCCCGCUUAUCAUCUUGGAUCCCUCUUCUGACAUCUGAUCAAAAGCACGUAUGCGAGUGAGAGGAGAGAAACAAACUGCCAAAGAUGGUGUCGGAACACUGCGGUGGGCUGGAGAAGCGCCGGAGUGUGCCGGCAAGGCGCCCAAAAGUACUCUCAUACAUAAUCUCAUUACGCCUGCUGCACACGCGCGCACGUCACGUCGCGUUGUUUCCGCGGGUCGGGAAAAGGUGCGCUUCUCAGGAGUGAGGAGGCGGUAUCGAACAAGAACAAGAAACCGAUUCAACUGGAUAUCUGUUUGUAGAGUCAUUUUAAGGCACAUGGGGCGGUUCCUGACAUCAAAUGCUGAUGACAUCCAGAUAAGUGGCAUCCAAGAGUGGAUGAGAACACUCGGGAAACGAUAUGUUUUUCGAUGAUUGAUGAGCUUCAAAGUCAAACCGAAGAGGAACGCGGAGAUUUGGGGGACUGACAGCGUGUCCUGAAAUGCAUCUGUGACAGAUGUGCAUGUAGAAAGAACGUCAGGGAUGUGUAUGCACCAGUUACUAGCGCAGCCAGGUGCUCCGGGAAGAACUUCAGAGAAAUCUCUAAUGUCCGCACCGCAGGUCCUCGGCACCAGAGCCGCGAGGGUCCCUGUCGUCAUGGUGGACACCAACGGUGCUGGCCUGCGUGAGCUGAGGCGGAGACCCGGAUCAGUUCUCGGCUUUGUUGCCAAAGGCAUGACGCCCUCCGGACAGGAGUUAAGAGAUCAAGCGCCCAAAUCGAAAAAAGCAAGCUAAACAAACAAAGACAAUAAUGGAGUCAUCCCCCUAGUGUGCAGCGUACCGUAUACCUUUUAUUUCGCAUUUCUUGUAGGUCACGUUUUCUUAAGCCCCCACUCCCCUCCGACACCCCUCGCCGUCCCACUUCGCUUCAGGCUCGCUUUUCUACGCUUUCUCACCUGCUUUGCUUCACGCUCCUUCCAUAUAAAAGAGGUUGAACUGUGAUUUUCACACUCCCUUCUCUCAGUUUAACUCACUAAAAAGAGAUUCCUUUCUCUCACCUUUCUCCCUUUCCCCCCACUGGUAUUACACUUAUCCCUACAUCCCUCCCUGUCUUUUUCAGUCCAAUACAGGUGUGACCUACCCCCCCCCCUUACAAUUCCCACUUCAUUUUUUUUCUACCCAUCCACAUGAAAGGGUUCCCGCUACCCUCGGUUCACCCUCACACAGCGCCUGAGGGGACAACUCGGUUAUCCGGUGGAGCUGCAGGUUUUUUUGGGGAGGGGGUGGGAUUAAGUUGCUCUCCUUGAAAUGUAAGAGCACUGCAUCACCACAGGCUACAAUGAAUCGAAACGAUAAACGACACUGUUGCAUGCGUUCGCACAAAAGAGGAGACUCGCAGACCGUUCAGUGAGACCAUCGUCAUCGCAGAUGGUUUGGGAUAAUUGACAACCUUCGGUUAUAAAGUUAAAGUCGUAUUAUAUUGCUGUUUUUAGAAAAGUUUCCUUCUCUGGGGUCAGAGUCAGACAUUGGUAUUUUAAUUGAAGUGCUAUUGACCAUUAAGAUUAAUAUAGGGAUAUUACCAUUGACCCGAGAUAAUUAUCAUUCCAAAUCCAUGACAUUAAGGAGUAAUCCUUUAAACAUGGAAGAUUGGUUGAGAACUGUGACCAGAAUAUGAAUAUAACAUGAGCUUUUUUUUUCUUUCUUUUUUUUCCACGCACACAAUUUUCCUGAUGGAUACAGGCAUCCUCCAAACAAAAAUAACUGAUGGCGUCAAUCAAGAGCUCACAGUUAGGCAUUGAAAUCCUCGCAUCCCUUUGUAAGUAACCACGUCCCGCGGUGUUUAUCCUCGCAGCUACUAUGACAGGUCAGUUAAUAUUGACAUUAUCUCCCUCCGCCACGAUGACAGCUCAAACUGCAGGAAGCCACUCAUUAACUGCGCCUCGGCUUGCGCGGGGGGGUGCGCGCCUCCGAUUGUGCCCGUGUGUGCAAAUGUGUGCGGAAACUUGCGUUGACUACUGGGACGGAAGUCAUUAGCCAAGUCUAACGUGUUAAAGAGAUGAGGGAUGGGAUCAGAUGUUUAUCUCAGCGAGAAGAACAGAUCGGCGCCAUCGCGGUGCCCUCUUUAGAGGUCACACGGUGAAGCGGAAAAGGGGGGGGGGGCUGCGUUUGAGUUGUGGCAAAUGGAGACAGGUGGACGUCUUGUUGUGUUGUCCUGAGAAUAUCCGACCAUUAAAGGCGAAAUCGCAAAAGGCAAGGUUGCGCCCCGAAAUGUGUGUUUGCAAUUUUCAGGUGCUUUUUUUUUUUGGGGGGGGGGGGGGGGGGUUAU